GGGUUGUGAGGUUAAGCGACUAAGCGUACACGGUGGAUGCCUAGGCAGUCAGAGGCGAUGAAGGGCGUGCUAAUCUGCGAUAAGCGACGGCAAGGUGAUAUGAACCGCAACACCCGUCGAUACCCGAAUGGGGAAACCCAGUGCAAUCCGUUGCACUAUCAUUCACUGAAUUCAUAGGUGAAUGAGGCGAACCGGGGGAACUGAAACAUCUCAGUACCCCGAGGAAAAGAAAUCAACCGAGAUUCCCCCAGUAGCGGCGAGCGAACGGGGAGGAGCCCAGAACCCGCAUCGGCUUGUGUGUCAGUGGAAGCGCCUGGAAAGGCGCGCAGUAAAGGGUGACAGCCCCGUACACGAAGACGGCAGAGAUGCCGGAGUGCCUUCGGGAACCGUGAGACAGGUGCUGCAUGGCUGUCGUCAGCUCGUGUUGUGAAAUGUUGGGUUAAGUCCCGCAACGAGCGCAACCCUUAUCCUUUGUUGCCAGCACGUGAUGGUGGGAACUCAAGGGAGACUGCCGGUGAUAAACCGGAGGAAGGUGGGGAUGACGUCAAGUCAUCAUGGCCCUUACGAGUAGGGCUACACACGUGCUACAAUGGCAGAUACAAAGAGAAGCGACCUCGCGAGAGCAAGCGGAACUCAUAAAGUCUGUCGUAGUCCGGAUUGGAGUCUGCAACUCGACUCCAUGAAGUCGGAAUCGCUAGUAAUCGUAGAUCAGAAUGCUACGGUGAAUACGUUCCCGGGCCUUGUACACACCGCCCGUCACACCAUGGGAGUGGGUUGCAAAAGAAGUAGGUAGCUUAACCUUCGGGGGGGCGCUUACCACUUUGUGAUUCAUGACUGGGGUGAAGUCGUAACAAGGUAACCGUAGGGGAACCUGCGGUUGGAUCACCUCCUUACCGAANNNNNNNNNNNNNNNNNNNNNNNNNNNNNNNNNNNNNNNNNNNNNNNNNNNNNNNNNNNNNNNNNNNNNNNNNNNNNNNNNNNNNNNNNNNNNNNNNNNNGGGCGUUAAGUUGCAGGGUAUAGACCCGAAACCCGGUGAUCUAGCCAUGGGCAGGUUGAAGGUUGGGUAACACUAACUGGAGGACCGAACCGACUAAUGUUGAAAAAUUAGCGGAUGACUUGUGGCUGGGGGUGAAAGGCCAAUCAAACCGGGAGAUAGCUGGUUCUCCCCGAAAGCUAUUUAGGUAGCGCCUCGUGAAGUCAUCUUCGGGGGUAGAGCACUGUUUCGGCUAGGGGGUCAUCCCGACUUACCAACCCGAUGCAAACUGCGAAUACCGAAGAAUGUUAUCACGGGAGACACACGGCGGGUGCUAACGUCCGUCGUGAAGAGGGAAACAACCCAGACCGCCAGCUAAGGUCCCGAAGUCAUGGUUAAGUGGGAAACGAAGUGGGAAGGCUCAGACAGCCAGGAUGUUGGCUUAGAAGCAGCCAUCAUUUAAAGAAAGCGUAAUAGCUCACUGGUCGAGUCGGCCUGCGCGGAAGAUGUAACGGGGCUAAACCAUGCACCGAAGCUGCGGCAGCGACAUGAAAGUGUUGUUGGGUAGGGGAGCGUUCUGUAAGCCGCAGAAGGUGGCCUGUGAGGGCUGCUGGAGGUAUCAGAAGUGCGAAUGCUGACAUAAGUAACGAUAAAGCGGGUGAAAAACCCGCUCGCCGGAAGACCAAGGGUUCCUGUCCAACGUUAAUCGGGGCAGGGUGAGUCGACCCCUAAGGCGAGGCCGACAGGCGUAGUCGAUGGGCAACAGGUUAAUAUUCCUGUACCCGGUGUGACUGCGAAGGGGGGACGGAGAAGGCUAGGCCAGCCGGGCGACGGUCGUCCCGGUUGAAGCGUGUAGGUGGGUGGUUUUGGAAAAUCCGGACCGCUGAUAACACUGAGGCGUGAUAACGAGGCACUACGGUGCUGAAGUGGUUGAUGCCCUGCUUCCAGGAAAAGCCUCUAAGCAUCAGGUCACAUUGGAUCGUACCCCAAACCGACACAGGUGGUCAGGUAGAGAAUACUCAGGCGCUUGAGAGAACUCGGGUGAAGGAACUAGGCAAAAUGGUGCCGUAACUUCGGGAGAAGGCACGCUGGCGCCAGGUGAAGGAACGAGCUUCCGGAGCCGAGGCCAGUCGCAGAUACCAGCUGGCUGCAACUGUUUAAUAAAAACACAGCACUGUGCAAACACGCAAGUGGACGUAUACGGUGUGACGCCUGCCCGGUGCUGGAAGGUUAAUUGAUGGGGUUAUCGCGUUGCGAGAAGCUCUUGAUCGAAGCCCCAGUAAACGGCGGCCGUAACUAUAACGGUCCUAAGGUAGCGAAAUUCCUUGUCGGGUAAGUUCCGACCUGCACGAAUGGCGUAAUGAUGGCCAGGCUGUCUCCACCCGAGACUCAGUGAAAUUGAACUCGCUGUGAAGAUGCAGUGUACCCGCGGCAAGACGGAAAGACCCCGUGAACCUUUACUAUAGCUUGACACUGAACCUUGAGCCUUGAUGUGUAGGAUAGGUGGGAGGCCUGGAAGUGCGGACGCCAGUCUGCACGGAGCCAACCUUGAAAUACCACCCUUGAAUGUUUGAUGUUCUAACGCAGGCCCGUGAUCCGGGUUGCGGACAGUGUCUGGUGGGUAGUUUGACUGGGGCGGUCUCCUCCCAAAGCGUAACGGAGGAGCACGAAGGUUAGCUAAUCACGGUCGGACAUCGUGAGGUUAGUGCAAUGGCAUAAGCUGGCUUGACUGCGAGAGUGACAGCUCGAGCAGGUGCGAAAGCAGGUCAUAGUGAUCCGGUGGUUCUGCAUGGAAGGGCCAUCGCUCAACGGAUAAAAGGUACUCCGGGGAUAACAGGCUGAUACCGCCCAAGAGUUCAUAUCGACGGCGGUGUUUGGCACCUCGAUGUCGGCUCAUCACAUCCUGGGGCUGAAGCAGGUCCCAAGGGUACGGCUGUUCGCCGUUUAAAGUGGUACGCGAGCUGGGUUUAGAACGUCGUGAGACAGUUCGGUCCCUAUCUGCCGUGGGCGCUGGAAGAUUGAAAGGGGCUGCUCCUAGUACGAGAGGACCGGAGUGGACGCACCACUGGUGUUCGGGUUGUCAUGCCAAUGGCACUGCCCGGUAGCUACGUGCGGAAGAGAUAACCGCUGAAAGCAUCUAAGCGGGAAACUUGCCUUGAGAUGAGUCUUCCCUUGUCCUUUAAGGACACUGAAGGAACGUUCGAGACGAGGACGUGGAUAGGCCGGGUGUGUAAGCGUAGCGAUACGUUGAGCUGACCGGUACUAAUGAACCGUGCGGCUUAACCUGACAACACCGAAGGUGUUU
rnacentral:rRNA from 1 species